AGCAAGAGCGGGCCAGGGGGCACGGGGCGUGGCCUAAGCGGAGGCGGAGCCUGGAGAGCAGGCGAAGUGGCCUGGAGCAGGGGGCGGUGCCCAGCUGGUCCUGGGUAGCGGGCCUAGACCAGGAGGCCGGCCGGGAGUGGGGCGGAGCCUGGGGAGUCCGUGAUGAGGCCGGGGGCAGGGGGCGGGGCCUAGUGGGGUCCCGGAUGCGGCAGACGCCUGGAGCGGGAGAGAACACUUCGUUUCUGAUGCUUGUGGUCACCAAAUGCGUGGAGGUUUUUUCCCCCACACAAUUCUCUCUAACACCAGCUCAAGUCUGACACCAUCAACCCGGAGAUGGGACCAGACCCCACAGGUUAAGGGCUCAGCCCCACAGGACUGCCCCGACCUCCACUUCAGCUGCCACUGUCCCCUGUGCUUCUGACUGACUCACUACAGAUGGGAGGCUCCCACAAGCCCCUCCUAAGGUUAGUUUGCUAAAGCAGCUCACAUAAUUCAAGGGAACACUUAGAAGUUUAUUAAAGGACAUGAAAAAAAACCCCACAAAUCAACAUCCAGGUGAAGCGAUGACAGGAAAAGGUCAGGAAGGGGCUCAAAUCCACAAACCGUGAGAUCAUGACCUGAGCCAAAACCAAGAGUCGGAUGCUUAACCAACUGAGCCACCCAGGUGCCCCAAUGACUUCAACCGAACAAAAAGGACCAGAAAUGAAGUAAAAGAUAAGCUAUAGUUCCACGGAAAUAGACUGCAAGUCAUUUAACAAAGGACUUAUAUUCAGCAUAUACAAAGAACUUCUACAAAUCAAGAAGAAAGACAUGAACAACAAAAAUGGGCAAAGAUAUGAAUAGGCAAUUCACUGGAAGGAAACACGAAUAUCCAAUAACCAAGACAUUCAGUAACCAGUGAUUUCUCCUGUCCUACUGAAUGGAUUAAUCCUGUCCACCGGCAAAAAUUUGCAUGGAUGCUCUACCUUAGGACAACAGCUCUCUUUCCCAUAUGUAUCUUUCCAGCGACUGUGCAUAUUUCUAUUUCCCUUCUUCCCUAAUGUCAAAGAAUUUAUAUAUAGUUGACACUUGAGCAAUGGAUCUUGGGCACUGACCACCACCACACAGCUGAAAAUCCACAUAUGACAUUGACUGCCCCCCUCUGCAACUUUACUACUAAUAGCCUACUGCUGAUCAGAAGCUUAACCAGUAACAUAAACAACACAGAUUUUGUGUCCUAUGUACUAUAUACUUUAUUCUUAUGAUAAAGUAAGCCAGAGAAAAGAAAACCUUCUUAAGAAAAUCACAAGGAGGAGGAAAUACAUUUACAGUGCUGUGCUGCAAAAGACCUGUAUGUAAGUGCACCAGUGCAGUUCAAGCCUGUGGUGUUCAAGGGUCAGCUGUAGUUUUUGCCUUGCACUCCAGCAGGGCAUCAGUCCCCAGCAGUCCUGUGGAAUAGCUCCUGGCAAACUCAUCACAGCCUUUGGGUUUGCCAACCCACAGUCUCUGCUAAUCUUGUGUUUCAGGGUGUGGAGUGGCUGGGCAGCUGGCUCCUCUUGGGAACAUGAUGUCCUGGCUUCUGUGACUCUGCAGCUUUCCUGUGCAACCUCCAAAUGCUCAAGGGCCCCAGGCCUCAGUCCUAGGCCCUUUACUCUCUUUACUUUCUUCCUGGGCAAUCACAUCAAAUCCCAUACCUUCAAGUACUGUUUACAUACUGAUGAUUCCUAAAUUCAUGUCUCCGGCCUGGACCUUUCCUGCAGCCCAAACUCAUAAACCCAGCAGCUUAGUCCUUAUCUCCAUUAGGAUCUCUCCUAGACAACUCCACUGAUGCCCCAAAUGGAAUUCCUGAGUCACCCCUACACCUGUUACUCCCACUCACCACCCCACCCCCACUCUCUAUCUCUGUGAAAGACCCAGACAUGUCUACCCAGGGGCUCAAGUCCAGCACCCAGGGGCCAACGCUAUGCUCACUGUAGAUCUCGGUGGCUCUACCUCAAAUAUGUCUUCAGUGCACACGCUUCUUUCCAUCCCUACCACCCCAAGCCAUGCUUUCCUGCUUAAACCAGUGUGACUGCCUCUUGGCUUUUCUUGUUCAGGAUAUAAAUCCAACAAUGGCUCCGGCUUAAAACCUGCCAAUAUCUUUCCACCAACAGUAAAAGAAUAUCCACGUGGCACAGA